rnacentral:lncRNA from 1 species
AUGUGUGUGACAUGAGGUGACACUCAGCUGUGCAGGCUGUGAAGGGCAGGGCUCCUGACUGGCACCACUAUUGUCAGGGAAGGAGGCACAGCCCCGAGCGUGGCUGAGGCCUGGCGGCUGCUGUGAGGGCACUGCUGCCACCUCAGGGGAGCAAAGCUGAGUUAAAACUUCACCAAAAUGGGGUGACACAGCCCAGGGUCUGUGGGGUAGUGGCACUGCCUCUGAGUCUCUCUUCAGUGCCUGAUUUUAGGUGUAGAGAUGCUCAAGCUGAGUAACAAAAUGGAGGGAGAGCUGUUGGACUGCCUGAGAGCUGGCGGCGCCAUCGGAGCACACAGCAAAGGAGGGAUUCACCUUGUCUGCUGCCCAGAGUCUCCUGCCAGUCACAGAGGAUGGGAGCACAGGGAGACAGAGGUUGGAUCAGUGCAACCCUUGGAGUGGCGGUGGCACUUUGAUAGCGCCAAACACCACGGUGAGGGGACAACAAAUGGAAAUGUCAGUGGGACUGUGCAGAGCUGGGAAUGA